UACGUAGGGGGCAAGCGUUGUCCGGAAUCAUUGGGCGUAAAGAGCGUGUAGGCGGCCCGAUAAGUCCGCUGUGAAAGUCCAGGGCUCAACCCUGGAAUGCCGGUGGAUACUGUCGGGCUCGAGUUCGGAAGAGGAGAGUGGAAUUCCUGGUGUAGCGGUGAAAUGCGCAGAUAUCAGGAAGAACACCCGUGGCGAAGGCGGCUCUCUGGGACGGUACUGACGCUGAGACGCGAAAGCGUGGGGAGCGAACAGG
rnacentral:rRNA from 1 species